CCCUAAAUACCAAGGCGAUCGGGUGAACUGUGGUUAAGGAACUCGGUAAAUUGCCCCCGUAACUUCGGGAGAAGGGGGACCUCUGUUGGUGAUGGGCUUUACGCCUGGAGCUGGUGGGGGUCGCAGUGGCCAGGGGGAAGCGGCUGUUUACUAAAAACACAGGUCCGUGCGAAGUCGUAAGACGAUGUAUACGGACUGACGCCUGCCCGGUGCCGGAACGUUAAGGGGACCGCUUAGCCGACGUGAGUUGGCGAAGGUGAGAACUUAAGCGCCGGUAAACGGCGGUGGUAACUAUAACCAUCCUAAGGUAGCGAAAUUCCUCGUCGGGUAAGUUCCGACCUGCACGAAUGGCGUAACGACUUCCCCGCUGUCUCAACCGCAGACCCGGCGAAAUUGCACUACGAGUAAAGAUGCUCGUUUCGCGCAGCAGGACGGAAAGACCCCGGGACCUUCACUACAGCUUGACAUUGGCGUUUGGAACGUCUUGUGUAGGAUAGGUGGGAGACUGGGAAGCUGUCACGCUAGUGAUGGUGGAGUCAUUGGUGAAAUACCACUCUGGUCGUUUUGAACGUCUAACUCUGGUCCGUGAUCCGGAUCGGGGACAGUGUCUGGUGGGUAGUUUAACUGGGGCGGUUGCCUCCUAAAGAGUAACGGAGGCGCCCAAAGGUUCCCUCAGCCUGGUUGGCAAUCAGGUGUUGAGUGUAAGUGCACAGGGGAGCUUGACUGUGAGACUGACAGGUCGAGCAGGAGCGAAAGCUGGGACUAGUGAUCCGGCAUCGGCGUGUGGAAGCGGUGUCGCUCAACGGCUAAAAGGUACCCCGGGGAUAACAGGCUGAUCUUCCCCAAGAGUCCAUAUCGACGGGAUGGUUUGGCACCUCGAUGUCGGCUCGUCGCAUCCUGGGGCUGGAGUAGGUCCCAAGGGUUGGGCUGUUCGCCCAUUAAAGCGGUACGCGAGCUGGGUUUAGAACGUCGCGAGACAGUUCGGUCCCUAUCCGCUGCGCGCGCAGGAGACUUGAAGGGGGCUGUCCCUAGUACGAGAGGACCGGGACGGACGAACCUCUGGUGUGCCAGUUGUACCGCCAGGUGCACGGCUGGUUGGCUACGUUCGGAAGGGAUAACCGCUGAAAGCAGCUAAGCGGGAAGCUCGCCUUGAGAUGAGGUCUCCCACCACGAGAGUGGGUAAGGCUCCCGGUAGACGACCGGGUUGAUAGGCCGGAGGUGGAAGCACGGUAACGUGUGGAGCUGACCGGUACUAAUAGGCCGAGGACUUGACCG
rnacentral:rRNA from 1 species